UACAGAGGUCUCAAGCGUUGUUCGGAUUUACUGGGCGUAAAGGGCGCGUAGGCGGUCAGUGCAAGUCAGUUGUGAAAUCUCCGGGCUUAACUCGGAACGGUCAACUGAUACUGCUCGACUAGAGUGCGGAAGGGGCAACUGGAAUUCUUGGUGUAGCGGUGAAAUGCGUAGAUAUCAGGAGGAACACCGGUGGCGAAGGCGGGGUCCUGGGCCAGUACUGACGCUGAGGAGCGAAAGCGUGGGGAGCAAACAGG
rnacentral:rRNA from 1 species